UGGGGAAUAUUGCGCAAUGGAGGCAACUCUGACGCAGCCAUGCCGCGUGUGUGAAGAAGGCCCUCGGGUUGUAAAGCACUUUCAAUUGGGAGAAAAAGCUUGUCGUUAAUAGCGGCAAGCCUUGAUGUUACCUUUAGAAGAAGCACCGGCUAACUCCGUGCCAGCAGCCGCGGUAAUACGGAGGGGGUUAGCGUUGUUCGGAAUUACUGGGCGUAAAGCGCACGUAGGCGGACCAGAAAGUUGGGGUGAAAUCCCCGAGCUCAACUUGGGAACUGCCUUUGAUACUGAUUGGCUAGAGUUCGGGAGAGGGUAGUGGAAUUCCCAGUGUAGAGGUGAAAUUCGUAGAUAUUGGGAAGAACACCAGUGGCGAAGGCGGCUACCUGGACCGAUACUGACGCUGAGGCGCGAAAGCGUGGGGAGCAAACAGGAUUAGAUACCCUGGUAGUCCACGCCGUAAAACGAUGUCUACUAGCCGUUGGGGGUACUUGAGACCGUUAGUGGCGCAGCCUAACGCACUAAGUAGACCGCCUGGGAGUACGGCCGCAAGGUUAAAAC
rnacentral:rRNA from 1 species